UACGAAGGGGGCGAGCGUUGUUCGGAAUCAUUGGGCGUAAAGGGCGCGUAGGCGGGUUUGUAAGUCGAUUGUGAAAUCCCUGGGCUUAACCCGGGAAUUGCAGUCGAAACUGCAAGUCUUGAGUUCUCGAGAGGAUGGUGGAAUUCCUGGAGUAGUGAGUGAAAUACGUAGAUAUCGAGGAGGAACACCGGAGGCGAAGGCGGCCAUCUGGCGAGACACUGACGCUAAGGCGCGAAAGCGUGGGUAGCAAACGAGG
rnacentral:rRNA from 1 species